GAUGAACGCUGGCGGCGUGCCUAAUACAUGCAAGUCGAGCGAACGGACGAGAAGCUUGCUUUUCUGAUUUUAGCGGCGGACGGGUGAGUAACACGUGUAUAACCUACCUAUAAGACUGGGAUAACUUCGGGAAACCGGAGCUAAUACCGGAUAAUAUUUUGAACCGCAUGGUUCAUAAGUGAAAGACGGUCUUGCUGUCUCUUAUAGAUGGAUCCGCGCUGCAUUAGCUAGUUGGUAAGGUAACGCCUUACCAAGGCAACGAUGCAUAGCCGACAUGAGAUGGUGAUCGGCAACACUGGAACUGAGACACGGUCCAGACUCCUACGGGAGGCAGCAGUAGGGAAUCUUACGCAAUGGGCGAAAGCAUGACGGAGCAACGCCGCGUGAGUGAUGAAGGUCUUCGGAUAGUAAAACUCUGUUAUUAGGGAAGAACAUAUGUGUAAGUAACUGUGCACAUCUUGACGGUAACUAAUCAGAAAGCCACGGCUAACUACGUG
rnacentral:rRNA from 1 species